CCACAUUGAUUCAAAGUCCUCACGUUUCUAUUUUGGGGGUUGAAAUGACGUGGAAACAACGCUGAUUCAACCAGUUUUUGCACAGUGGAUGGUAAUUCCAGAAUGUUGCUGGAUAUUACAGGCUAAACCUCCCACAUGUCAAACCUACAACACACACAUAUGGAGUGGGUGUUAGUAGGCUAGCCUAGAGACAGCGACGAUGAUACUGAGACAUUUAAGGACAAAGACAUCCUUCUAUAAACAAUAUAACAUGUGGGCUGUUUCUAUGGUGGCCAUGUGCCUGAAAAGACGAAAGGACGGUGCGGCGCCGGUCCUAUAUUGUGAUCCAAUGCUCGUCUCGUUUCCCGUCGCAUCUACCCGUCCCGUCGCCGAAAUUCUAACUACAUUACAUUUCCGCCCACAAGCCAAACUGACCCUUUGAAAUACGGGCUCACCCAGUACACCGGAGGACGUUUGCUGCGAGGAGGCAGCACUUGGAUCUGUCUUUUCUCCCUCGCGUUGCGAUCGGUGUCUGUGCCAAAAGCCCUCGGUGCCGUCUCUGCUGUUGGAUGAGCUGAUACUGGCAGCUGCAGCUGCUGCUCCCGUCGCCCCGGUCUCAGGCAUGCUCUUUCAGUGGGGCGUAACGGACGAUAGUCUCCGGGAAAAGGGAGAACGAAAUCGCAUCUCAGGCAGGCAAAGCAUGGACCGCGACCGACCGGUGGGUCAGAGAGACAGAGGUUAAAUUAACGUGAAGUGAUGGUUGUUGUGCUGGUGGCUCAUCCUGGUUUGCAGCAGAAUGCUAGCAGAUGGAUAGCGCUCGGUUGAUUCUUAAGUAUCGAGGAGGGACAAAGAGAAAAGGAGAGACGACACGUGAUCCUGCUUGUGCUUCAAGGGAUAUUAUCCAGCAAGCGGGGACCUGUACCACCAGUGACAAAGAGGAAAAGGAAGGCACCUGACUCACACAGCACCAUGGCAACAAUUGCGGACACAGAAUAAACAAUUUGAGGAUUGUGUGAAGUUGGAGACUGAUCGCCUCUUGAGAGAGAAUGAGCAGCUGUUGUAAAGGACGUCACGCUGCUUGCUUACCGAGUGCCACUUCCUCUGCCUUGCUAGCACACUUGACUGCUCUCCGGAAGCUUCUUACCAGUCAGCGCCACGCAAAAGCUAGCUGUUCGUUGGUGCAAGUGGAGACACUUCAGGCUGAGGAGUGGUGAAUCGCAUCUCUGCAUGUCUGGCAGACAUAUCAGUGUGGAUGACGGAUCACCACCUCAAGCUGAACCUCGGCAAGACGGAGCUGCUCUUCCUCCCGGGGAAGGACUGCCCGUUCCACGAUCUCGCCAUCACGGUUGACAACUCCAUUGUGUCCUCCUCGCAGAGUGCUAAGAGCCUUGGCGUGACCCUGGACAACACC
rnacentral:lncRNA from 1 species